rnacentral:lncRNA from 1 species
AAACCUUCUGACGUGACAAUCCUGCCAAACCACUCGACGCCAGCGCUUCACAUCCAAGUCCGGUGGUGUGAGCUGGGAACCUGGGAGCCCACGCACGGGACAAGCCAGCUACACAUCAGCCUCUCAAAAAAAAAGAAAAAGCUACACAUCAGCGACUGAAAGGGAGAAGCCACCGUUCGUUCGUUCCAUUUUUUUCUUCGGGCCAUUUACCUUCCUUUCUCUGAGAAAUAAACCUGACUAGCUCGUGGCUGUGCAUAGCACGCAGUUCACUUCGGUGAAAGGGAAAGUCGCAGGAAAUACUUGAUGACACUGUCGAUCACAGGUGGGACUUGCUUGUUAACUGGCACCUCCACGGUUCCACUCCACCCUUCCAGCUACUCCUACCAAACCUUUGCCCCGAAGAAACCAAAUAAGCUAACACGAAAAGAAACUAAGUAAGCUCCUAGGACUAGUAUGGGACCAUUUCUGUUAAGCAAUUAGACUUGUCAAUAGUCUUUACAGCCAGGCC